rnacentral:rRNA from 1 species
UGGGGAAUAUUGGACAAUGGGCGAAAGCCUGAUCCAGCCAUGCCGCGUGUGUGAAGAAGGUCUUCGGAUUGUAAAGCACUUUAAGUUGGGAGGAAGGGCAUUAACCUAAUACGUUAGUGUUUUGACGUUACCGACAGAAUAAGCACCGGCUAACUCUGUGCCAGCAGCCGCGGUAAUACAGAGGGUGCAAGCGUUAAUCGGAAUUACUGGGCGUAAAGCGCGCGUAGGUGGUUUGUUAAGUUGGAUGUGACAGCCCCAGGCUGAACCUGGGAACUGCAUUCAAAACUGACUGACUAGAGUAUGGUAGAGGGU